rnacentral:rRNA from 1 species
AUUGAACGCUGGCGGCAGGCCUAACACAUGCAAGUCGAACGAGUGGCGGACGGGUGAGUAAUGUCUGGGAAACUGCCCGAUGGAGGGGGAUAACUACUGGAAACGGUAGCUAAUACCGCAUACCAUCGGAUGUGCCCAGAUGGGAUUAGCUAGUAGGUGGGGUAACGGCUCACCUGGGCGACGAUCCCUAGCUGGUUUGAGAGGAUGACCGUCCACACUGGAACUGAGACACGGUCCAGACUCCUACGGGAGGCAGCAGUGGGGAAUAUUGCACAAUGGGCGCAAGCCUGAUGCAGCCAUGCCGCGUGUAUGAAGAAGGCCUUCGGGUUGUAAAGUACUUUCAGCGAGGAGGCGUUACUCGGAGAAGAAGCACCGGCUAACUCCGUGCCAGCCGCCGCGGUAAUUC